CAGAACUUCAGGGCCCUGAGACCUCGAGAAGUUGGAGAGCGAGCUGCCCAAUGAGCAAGAGUCGGGGUCCUGGGGUGUACGGAGACGCGAGGGGCCUUGGUUCCAGAAUGUCAACCGAGGGACCAAAGCCAGCGUGUGAAGGACUUUAACCCAGUGAUUAAAACAUUUCCUCACGUUGGAACUGCCCGAGAAGCUUUAAAAAUGCCGCUACCUGCGUCUCACCUCCAGAGAUUAUUGUGAUUUAUUGGUCUGGAUGUGACCUAGGUUUGAGAAUUUUUCAAGAUCCGCAGGUGAUUCGGAAGUGCAGACCCAUCUAAUUCUCAGGACAACCCCAUAGGAGGUGGGCAUGAGAAAUUAAAUGGGAACUUAUUUUGGAGUUUUGUAGAAGCCACAGACAACAUGCAAAGGCCAGUAGAGACAUGCCAAAGGCUAAUGGUUCUGCUGACCUCCAGCUUCCGGCUGCUCCCGUGGCUUCUCUUCUGUGACUAACUUCCUCUGCUUAUCAGGCCCACUCUCAUUCAUUAGCUGGGCACACCUUAACUAAUUACAUCUUCAAAGGGCC